GAUUGUUUUACAAUCAUAAUUUACAAAUUAAAUGAUUCAGAUGCCUAAUCAUGUGUAAAAAUCGAUGUCAGGAAUCUUAAGUUGUUUUGAAAUUGUAAUACACGAAAUGAAUGCGGCAUACGGAGACUCAAUGCCAAGGGUCGGCCCCUUAAGUCUUCAGAAGACUUGACGUCUUCUUCCACUAAAAACGUGUGAACCUGCAUUAUGCUCAUUGAAUGCAAAUUAGUCGUAGAUUGCUCGAAAGUCUUGCAUCCUUUUAUUGCCUUGCAUCCUUUUAUUGGUUUGCUUGGGCCACAGGGAUGCCACAGCCCCAGCAACAUAUUCAGAAACUAAUGAAAGUGUAUUGGUACUUGCAAAUAAUCACAUUUCAUUUUCCCUAUUUGACAUAUGGUGCAUUGUUUGGUUGAUUUAAAAUACCAUUUAUAUCAUAGCAAUAGGAUAAUUUCAUCAGUUAAUAUGAACUAACGUCAGUCAAUUUAUAAAUAAACCAGAUGCUCCGCAGGGCGCAGCUUUAUACGACUGCAGGGGGUGAACCCUGAACGGUUGGGGCAAGUAUGGACAAAGCAUUCAAGCUGGAUUCAGCUCUAAAUUUGGAUUGUGAUUAAAUAGUUGACAGUUUGACACAGCACAGGUUUCUUACACAGAAUGAAUGUGGUCUAAUGAACUUAAAUUUUUUUUUUUCCUUUGAGCAAUUCACUAUGCUGUUGAAUAUUAAUCCUCUCAAAAAAAUGUUUAAAGAAAUUUUCUUUUUAUUUAUGAAAUCUGAAAUGAGAAAAAUUUAACCCCCCCCCCCCCCAAUUUUUUUUUCACUUCCCCCUUUCCCUUAUUCCAAAACUGAUCUCGAUUCAAAUUUCUAAUGGAGUUUGCAACAAAAAGUACUCAUUUAAGUACAUCAUAAAAUAUCAAAAUGUAAAAAAAGUGCU
rnacentral:lncRNA from 1 species